UGAGGACCUGAGGCACAGAUGCUAACCAGCUUGCUGGAGAUCACACACUCAUGAGUGGCAGAGUGGGGCUUGGAACCGGGUAGCCUGGCUCUGGAGCCCUCACUCCAUCCACACACCAUGCUGGGACCCAGUCGAGUGACCAGCAGACCGGUUGUGUGGGUUAGGUGGAAUGGUGGAUAUAAACCACACAGCCCAGCUCCUGACCCAUGCUGGGCCCUCAACUUAAUUGCUGCCUAGAGCUCAUAGAAGGAUCUCACAGCACUGCUCCAGGGCACUGAAGCUUACAGUGAAAGCACAUUUUCAGCAAGUACUGAAGAUUGUCUCCACGUUGGCUGGUUUGAAACUGUGAUCUUUUGAAUGUAAUCCAGGAAAGGAAUGGAAAGGAAAGAAGUGCUCAGAAAGCUCCCAGAAGCAUUUUGGCACUCACCAAAGCAGCCGGAAGAUGAAUAACACAGUGGGGAUAGAUGGCUAACAAGAAGCCCCUCUCCGGAUGCCGGCCCCUCUUGGACUUCCCAGCUUCCAGAAUUGGUGUAUGUUUAAGCUCAGGCUGGAAAAGGAUCACUGAAAGUCACUUGGAUGGUGUCUCGUGUGUCUGUGAUGAGCUUGCUGUUGCUUUCUUUCUCCUUGACAGAUGAGAAAACAGUGGCUUCAAAGGUUAAACAACUUGUCUUCGAUUGCACAGCUAACAAGAG
rnacentral:lncRNA from 10 species